rnacentral:rRNA from 1 species
UACGUAGGGUGCGAGCGUUAAUCGGAAUUACUGGGCGUAAAGCGUGCGCAGGCGGUUUUGUAAGCCAGAUGUGAAAGCCCCGGGCUUAACCUGGGAAUGGCAUUUGGGACUGCAAGGCUUGAGUGCGGCAGAGGGGGAUGGAAUUCCGCGUGUAGCAGUGAAAUGCGUAGAUAUGCGGAGGAACACCGAUGGCGAAGGCAAUCCCCUGGGCCUGCACUGACGCUCAUGCACGAAAGCGUGGGGAGCAAACAGG